rnacentral:rRNA from 1 species
UACCAGCACCCCGAGUGGUCGGGACGAUUAUUGGGCCUAAAGCAUCCGUAGCCGGUCAUGCAAGUCCUCCGUUAAAUCCAGCCGCUCAACGGUUGGGCUGCGGAGGAUACUACGUGGCUAGGAGGCGGGAGAGGCAAGGCGGUACUCAGUGGGUAGGGGUAAAAUCCUUUGAUCCAUUGAAGACCACCAGUGGCGAAGGCGGCUUGCCAGAACGCGCUCGACGGUGAGGGAUGAAGCUGGGGAGCAAACCGG